UGUGUGUUAGUGGAAGCGUCUGGAAAGGCGCGCGAUACAGGGUGACAGCCCCGUACACAAAAAUGCACAUGCUGUGAGCUCGAUGAGUAGGGCGGGACACGUGGUAUCCUGUCUGAAUAUGGGGGGACCAUCCUCCAAGGCUAAAUACUCCUGACUGACCGAUAGUGAACCAGUACCGUGAGGGAAAGGCGAAAAGAACCCCGGCGAGGGGAGUGAAAAAGAACCUGAAACCGUGUACGUACAAGCAGUGGGAGCACGCUUAGGCGUGUGACUGCGUACCUUUUGUAUAAUGGGUCAGCGACUUAUAUUCUGUAGCAAGGUUAACCGAAUAGGGGAGCCGAAGGGAAACCGAGUCUUAACUGGGCGUUAAGUUGCAGGGUAUAGACCCGAAACCCGGUGAUCUAGCCAUGGGCAGGUUGAAGGUUGGGUAACACUAACUGGAGGACCGAACCGACUAAUGUUGAAAAAUUAGCGGAUGACUUGUGGCUGGGGGUGAAAGGCCAAUCAAACCGGGAGAUAGCUGGUUCUCCCCGAAAGCUAUUUAGGUAGCGCCUCGUGAAUUCAUCUCCGGGGGUAGAGCACUGUUUCGGCAAGGGGGUCAUCCCGACUUACCAACCCGAUGCAAACUGCGAAUACCGGAGAAUGUUAUCACGGGAGACACACGGCGGGUGCUAACGUCCGUCGUGAAGAGGGAAACAACCCAGACCGCCAGCUAAGGUCCCAAAGUCAUGGUUAAGUGGGAAACGAUGUGGGAAGGCCCAGACAGCCAGGAUGUUGGCUUAGAAGCAGCCAUCAUUUAAAGAAAGCGUAAUAGCUCACUGGUCGAGUCGGCCUGCGCGGAAGAUGUAACGGGGCUAAACCAUGCACCGAAGCUGCGGCAGCGACGCUGAUGCGUUGUUGGGUAGGGGAGCGUUCUGUAAGCCUGCGAAGGUGUGCUGUGAGGCAUGCUGGAGGUA
rnacentral:rRNA from 1 species